rnacentral:rRNA from 1 species
ACAUGACUACAGCAUAGCAUUAAUGCAUUGGAUCUUAAUAGAACUCCCUAGUUAAGCGUUCUCAGGAUAGAGUAGUACUAGGAUGGGUGACCGCCUAGGAAUUCCUAGUGUUUUACAUGCC